rnacentral:rRNA from 1 species
UACAGAGGAGCCAAGCGUUGUCCGGAGUUACUGGGCGUAAAGCGCGCGCAGGCGGCGGUGUAAGCAUGGCGUGAAAGCCCCGGGCUCAACCUGGGAAUUGCAUUCGAGACUGAAUAGCUAGGGUGCGGUAGAGGGAAGCGGAAUUUCCGGUGUAGCGGUGAAAUGCGUAGAUAUCGGGAAGGAACAUCAGUGGCGAAAGCGACUUCCUGGACCAGUACCGACGUCAGGCACGAAAGCGUGGGGAGCAAACAGG